rnacentral:rRNA from 1 species
GAUGAACGCUGGCGGCGUGCCUAAUACAUGCAAGUCGAGCGAACGGACGAGAAGCUUGCUUCUCUGAUGUUAGCGGCGGACGGGUGAGUAACACGUGGAUAACCUACCUAUAAGACUGGGAUAACUUCGGGAAACCGGAGCUAAUACCGGAUAAUAUUUUGAACCGCAUGGUUCAAAAGUGAAAGACGGUCUUGCUGUCACUUAUAGAUGGAUCCGCGCUGCAUUAGCUAGUUGGUAAGGUAACGGCUUACCAAGGCAACGAUGCAUAGCCGACCUGAGAGGGUGAUCGGCCACACUGGAACUGAGACACGGUCCAGACUCCUACGGGAGGCAGCAGUAGGGAAUCUUCCGCAAUGGGCGAAAGCCUGACGGAGCAACGCCGCGUGAGUGAUGAAGGUCUUCGGAUCGUAAAACUCCGUUAUUAGGGAAGAACAUAUGUGUAAGUAACUGUGCACAUCUUGACGGUACCUAAUCAGAAAGCCACGGCUAACUACGU